rnacentral:rRNA from 1 species
GUGGGGAAUCUUGCGCAAUGGGCGAAAGCCUGACGCAGCCAUGCCGCGUGAAUGAUGAAGGUCUUAGGAUUGUAAAAUUCUUUCACCGGGGACGAUAAUGACGGUACCCGGAGAAGAAGCUCCGGCUAACUUCGUGCCAGCAGCCGCGGUAAUACGAAGGGGGCUAGCGUUGCUCGGAAUUACUGGGCGUAAAGGGCGCGUAGGCGGACAGCUUAGUCAGAGGUGAAAGCCCAGGGCUCAACCUUGGAAUUGCCUUUGAUACUGGCUGUCUUGAGUUUGGGAGAGGUGAGUGGAACUCCGAGUGUAGAGGUGAAAUUCGUAGAUAUUCGGAAGAACACCAGUGGCGAAGGCGACUCACUGGCCCAAUACUGACGCUGAGGCGCGAAAGCGUGGGGAGCAAACAGGAUUAGAUACCCGGGUAGUC